CGGCUGGCCCGAAGACUGAUGCACGCGUGAAGCAAUUUCACGCGUGCAUCAACAGUGCGAAGGUAAUUAAAUUACCUUCGCACUGUUCAAACGCUUAUUGAACACAAACAAUGAAAAGGAAUUGGGCGCACCUGCUUCUGGAAAUGAUGAAGAAGGCUGCGAUGUUGGACUGCUGCCCUCGUUCGGCUGCUCUUUCUUCUUUCUCUGUUGUGCCCCCCUGUCCUCUCCUCUUUGGAUUUCUCAGUUUCUGGCGAUGAACGAGCUAGGAAGUAUUGGGUAUGCCGAUCCUCUCUUCGUUGUUUUUGUUGUUUUACAGAAUGGUUUCCUCUGCUUCUGCUUCUUUCUUUGAUUGUGUUCUGUUUUCCUCUGAUUUUGAGAUGAAGGAAAAACAGAUAUUGAUGACACUGGUUGUUAACGGUCUUUGGUCCAGUGUCGUUCUUCUUCUGCAAGGAUCUAGACAAUGGCAGGGUUGAUCUCUGACUCUCCUAUGCUUUUACUCCCUUCUCUCUGUGUAUUUUUCUGAGUUUAUGCUAUGCUUUUUUUUUUGUUUUUUUUCUGUUUAUCCGGGCUCUGUUUUUCUGGGUAAAUUACUUUGUUUUCUGGGUUUUCUCUCGGUUUCUUCCUUUUGUGUGUUGAUUUCUGCCUCUCUUUUAUAGGCAUUCAAUCCCAUCUUUGCAGGACUUUUAUUCAAAUCAUGAGAGGGAUCGUGGUCCACGUUCAGAUCAAGUUUGUUGCAGAUCUUCAGCCUACUGAACCGGGAUGGAGAAGACGAACGCAGCUGUUCCCAGCAACGGCGCCGUUUUCAAGCAGCCAUGGACAUUUUCAAUUUGACCCCUUGAACUUUGGAAAUUUCACAAUUGGACCCCUAAGCAAAUAAAACAUUUCUUUUAAUUUUGCCCCUUUUGGAUAAAUUUCAAUUAAGUCCC
rnacentral:lncRNA from 1 species